CGGUCAUCUCAUGUACGUACUCCUGCGAACCUCACAUCUUACGGCGGGAUUACCAGUCCAGGCUAAAUCCCGCAUCGUAAACUCAUAAGGUAAAGUCGGGAUUACCAGUCCAGGCUAAAUCCCUUAUAGUGAAAAAUACCUUAAAUGAGUUCGGAUCUGAAUUACCAGUCUAGGCUAAAUUCAGACCCUAAUCGGAUUACCCAUCCGUACUAAAUCCUCAAUGCACACAUAUUCUUUGGGAGGCUCGAUCACUUAAAGAACACCCAUCCGGG
rnacentral:lncRNA from 1 species